CCCAUGUGCACACUCUUUGAGAAAGGUGCACCCACCACUUUCGACUGUUGGGAUAUUGCAGGAGAGAGCGAUGUCCACUGGACACUGGACAUCCUGUGUUGGGAAUGAAGACAAUAGUGUUUAUAUCACACUGAGAUGUGGUCUGACCAGGGCAGCACGUACAGGACAUGUUUCUGGGCAGGGCUGGGUUUGAACCCGCCACCUCCAGCACAUGGGGCCGGUGCCCCACUCCUUUGAGGCAUAGGCACCGCCCUUGACUUUACCCCUGAUGAAAAUAAAAACCUCCGUAGCUCCGACUUUCCAUUGCAGUGUAUCCCAGGACUACUUCUAAGGCCUGAAGUUCACUGGUGUCCCCAUGUUGCAGAAGAAUAAGAACGCCCUUCAUAAGAGUGGCCCCACUUAGCACAGCCAGACGCAAGUCGCCGACGUCCUUACCUCACAGAAGCUCUGACACUGGUGUUUCCUCAGGUCCCCCGACUCCUUGCACGG